AUGGUCACAUGGAUGUGUUGCACCUGGUCACAUGGAUGUGUUGCACGUGGUCACAUGGAUGUGUUGCACGUGGUCACAUGGAUGUGUUGCACGUGGUCACAUGGAUGUGUUGCACGUGGUCACAUGGAUGUGUUGCACAUUAACAGGAAACAUGGCGAACACAUAAUUCAUGACAGACGGAGUGGAAAGUACAGUAAAUGGUGCAGGCAACAGGAUUUCCUCAAGCAUCAGACACAAAUACACAAACCUGUUGACCUACUUACAGCAAUCAGGUCACAAUAAACAGGACGGCGACGGCGAGGACUCAGCAGACAGGUGGAUGGGAAGUGAGGCCAGGUGAGAGAUGAGGGAUCUGGGCACGUUGCCCUAACCUACUGCCCGAGCGGGCACGAGACACAACACAACACCAUGUGCCAAGACAAAUCUGUACAAUCUCAGCUGAGGAAAUAAAAAAAAAGCUCAAGGCAUCUCUCUAUCUCACCCUUUCUCUCUCUCUCUUUCUCUUUAUUUUGACUCCACAAAUGGGCAGAAAGCAUUACCGAUCUCUAUAUUUCCAUUGGGUUACAUGACGUUAAUAAUUAAACUUCUUUUAUUAAUGUUAGCCACAAUUACACACAAGUUCUAAGAGAGCGAUGAGUCAUACAUAAUCAUUUUACACUGUACACUGGGGUUUCAUCUUUAUAUCGGUGUUCUCUGCACUACCGUAAUAAACGUUCCGUUUAUUACAAAUAUUUACAUUCAUUUGUCUAAUUCAUUCAAGUUCCAUGUUGACAAAACUCCAAAUCCAUAAAGUCGAUAAACCCGACAUGAGGUUUCUAUUUCACAAUAGAAUCCAAGUCAAGUCCGUCUAGGAAUCUUGUUUCGGAAAAUAUAGCUCGGAUUGUAAUUCAAGAUCCGAUUUCCUU